UAACCCGGAAAUAAACCGGAAGUCACCCUGGACCGCAAAGGAUUAUGGUCUAUUGGAAAGUCGAAAAUGUUUGUCGAAAUAAUGCGCCAAAUAAACUGAAGUGUUGUUUCGUUUAUUAAAGACGGCCUAAGUGAGCUAACAAAGAAAUCAUCAGUCCACAAAAGAAUCAACCAGGGAAGGAGAAAAACAUUCAAAGCUGCCAAUUGCCAAGUCCAUCACCGGCCUAAAGGAGCUAACAAAAAAAUCAUCAGUCCACUAAAGAAUCAACCAGUGAAGGAGAAAAACAUUCAAAGCUGUAAAUUGCCAAAUCCAUCAGUUGGAAGAUGGAUGUCAAAGUCUCAGACAAAAGCUUCCAGAGUUAAGGAAAGAACACUUCAACAAAAACAAGCACGAGAAGAAUGACUGCAAAAAAGCUUUUCGCAGAUUCGUUUCCUCAUCAAGUGUAUUUAAGGAAAAUGGACCUGUCUAUAGACUAUACAGAGACUAGAUGUAAAUGUCAAGGACUGCAAUGAGCAAUUCAAUGACUCCUUUCUAAUUGUGUCAAGUGUCAUAAAAAAUUAAAACUGUUAUAAAUGGA